rnacentral:rRNA from 1 species
GGGUCGGUGCGGAGGCUAAACAUGCAAGUCGAGCGGUAGCACAGAGAGCUUGCUCUCGGGUGACGAGCGGCGGACGGGUGAGUAAUGUCUGGGAAACUGCCUGAUGGAGGGGGAUAACUACUGGAAACGGUAGCUAAUACCGCAUAACGUCGCAAGACCAAAGUGGGGGACCUUCGGGCCUCUUGCCAUCAGAUGUGCCCAGAUGGGAUUAGCUGGUAGGUGGGGUAACGGCUCACCUAGGCGACGAUCCCUAGCUGGUCUGAGAGGAUGACCAGCCACACUGGAACUGAGACACGGUCCAGACUCCUACGGGAGGCAGCAGUGGGGAAUAUUGCACAAUGGGCGCAAGCCUGAUGCAGCCAUGCCGCGUGUGUGAAGAAGGCCUUCGGGUUGUAAAGCACUUUCAGCGGGGAGGAAGGCGUUGAGGUUAAUAACCUCACCGAUUGACCGUACCCGCAGAAGAAGCACCGGCUAACUCCGUGCCAGCAGCCGCGGUAAUACGGAGGGUGCAAGCGUUAAUCGGAAUUACUGGGCGUAAAGCGCACGCAGGCGGUCUGUCAAGUCGGAUGUGAAAUCCCCGGGCUCAACCUGGGAACUGCAUUCGAAACUGGCAGGCUAGAGUCUUGUAGAGGGGGGUAGAAUUCCAGGUGUAGCGGUGAAAUGCGUAGAGAUCUGGAGGAAUACCGGUGGCGAAGGCGGCCCCCUGGACAAAGACUGACGCUCAGGUGCGAAAGCGUGGGGAGCAAACAGGAUUAGAUACCCUGGUAGUCCACGCUGUAAACGAUGUCGAUUUGGAGGUUGUGCCCUUGAGGCGUGGCUUCCGGAGCUAACGCGUUAAAUCGACCGCCUGGGGAGUACGGCCGCAAGGUUAAAACUCAAAUGAAUUUGACGGGGGCCCGCACAAGCGGUGGAGCAUGUGGUUUAAUUCGAUGCAACGCGAAGAACCUUACCUGGUCUUGACAUCCACAGAACUUUCCAGAGAUGGAUUGGUGCCUUCGGGAACUGUGAGACAGGUGCUGCAUGGCUGUCGUCAGCUCGUGUUGUGAAAUGUUGGGUUAAGUCCCGCAACGAGCGCAACCCUUAUCCUUUGUUGCCAGCGGUUCGGCCGGGAACUCAAAGGAGACUGCCAGUGAUAAACUGGAGGAAGGUGGGGAUGACGUCAAGUCAUCAUGGCCCUUACGACCAGGGCUACACACGUGCUACAAUGGCAUAUACAAAGAGAAGCGACCUCGCGAGAGCAAGCGGACCUCAUAAAGUAUGUCGUAGUCCGGAUUGGAGUCUGCAACUCGACUCCAUGAAGUCGGAAUCGCUAGUAAUCGUAGAUCAGAAUGCUACGGUGAAUACGUUCCCGGGCCUUGUACACACCGCCCGUCACACCAUGGGAGUGGGUUGCAAAAGAAGUAGGUAGCUUAACCUUCGGGAGGGCGCUUACCACUUUGUGAUUCAUGACUGGGGUGAAGUCGUAAACAAGAAGCCCGAUUCCCCC